CAGGAAUAAAGGUGGGAAUCCGUUAAAGAAGCAUCUUUUUUGUGGUAUAUUUACAAAAAAGCUUUUAAUAUCAGUCAAUAGUUAUUAGUUAUUGAUGACAUUUGGUAAUAUAUCAAUAUCUCUGUGUUCUCUUAUGUCUGUGUCGUCAACAUUUGAACAUUUUUGAGCGGUCCGCUCUUUCUGACUGUAAACAAAGCCGUUCUCCACCUCCUCUAACCUGAUUGGUUGUGAGGCAGACGCUGCUCCCCCGUGUCGUUCAGGAGCCCAAACAAAGUUAGCGUGCUACAAUAUCGGACAGUAGAAACCAACCAGAAAGUUCGGAAAAUUGUCUGAAUCCUCCUUUGGCCACGACUGCCGACACAAGCAAGAAAACAAAGUAAAUACCGGAGACUCUGGAGGAAUAACGGGUGCUUAAAACAGAGGUAGACCGGACAAGAGCUAAAAAGCCGGGUCAACAUAAAC